CGGGAGGACCAUCUCCCAAGGCUAAAUACUCCCUAGUGACCGAUAGUGAACCAGUACCGUGAGGGAAAGGUGAAAAGCACCCCGGAAGGGGAGUGAAACAGUUCCUGAAACCGUGUGCCUACAAGUAGUUAGAGCCCGUUAAUGGGUGAUAGCGUGCCUUUUGUAGAAUGAACCGGCGAGUUACGAUUUGUUGCAAGGUUAAGCGGAAAAAGCGGAGCCGUAGCGAAAGCGAGUCUGAAUAGGGCGCAUAAGUAACAGGUCGUAGACCCGAAACCAGGUGAUCUACCCAUGUCCAGGAUGAAGGUAAGGUAAUACUUACUGGAGGUCCGAACCCACGCACGUUGAAAAGUGCGGGGAUGAGGUGUGGGUAGCGGAGAAAUUCCAAUCGAACUUGGAGAUAGCUGGUUCUCUCCGAAAUAGCUUUAGGGCUAGCCUCGAGGUAAAGAGUCAUGGAGGUAGAGCACUGUUUGGACUAGGGGCCCUUCUCGGGUUACCGAAUUCAGAUAAACUCCGAAUGCCAUGUACUUAUACUCGGGAGUCAGACUGCGAGUGAUAAGAUCCGUAGUCGAAAGGGAAACAGCCCAGACCACCAGUUAAGGUCCCCAAAUAUAUGUUAAGUGGAAAAGGAUGUGGGGUUGCUUAGACAACCAGGAUGUUGGCUUAGAAGCAGCCACCAUUGAAAGAGUGCGUAAUAGCUCACUGGUCGAGUGACCCCGCGCCGAAAAUGUACCGGGGCUAAACAUAUUACCGAAACUGUGGAUGAACCUCUUUAGAGGUUCGUGGUAGGAGAGCGUUCUAAGGGCGGUGAAGUCAGACCGGAAGGACUGGUGGAGCGCUUAGAAGUGAGAAUGCCGGUAUGAGUAGCGAAAGAAGGGUGAGAAUCCCUUCCACCGAAUAUCUAAGGUUUCCUGAGGAAGGCUCGUCCGCUC
rnacentral:rRNA from 1 species